ensembl:lncRNA
CUUUAAUGAUCUAAUAUCUGAGCAUCUGCAAGGAAAUGAACAGAAACAAAUGCUCAAAAUGACAUGAUGAGUACCUGUUGUGGAGCACUAUAUUCAGGAUGGGACAGAGGAAUCAGAGUCUGAGAACUGCUUCCUUGUGAAGAAGGAACCUGUGUCUGAUCAGGACAAAGAACACAACAGACAUGAAACCAGAAACCAAGCUUUUCAAAUAAUCCAUUAUUUAUAAUGAUGUCUGAAAAACAAAUAAUCCCAAAGAUGACCGACCAGGCUAUGUGGGUGGACAGCAUGCUGUUGAGUAAGCUGGGAAUGAGGGCUGUGUUGUGUGGCAGAGGUCUGAGGUUGCUGCUCAGGCUGCACAGAGCUGUAAGAGGGCAGCACUGGCUGAACAGGAUGAGACUCCAAUGCGGUCAGCGAGUAAUGGCCUUCCAUACCACCAACAGCUGCAGGAUAUACAAAUAAACAAUAGAUCAUGACCCAGCCAUUACAGGUGCUGACGUAACACAAUGAUUCACUAUGUUGCUCACAUGAAGCAGGCGCUCCAGGCUGCUGUUGCAGGUGGUGCUGCUCCCCCUCUGGCUCCUCUGGCUCUAUGGAAACUGGUGUCAAGGUCGACAUGGGGGGCUUUGUGGUGGAGGAGUGAGCAGGAGUGGGCUCGCUGGGAGGCUGCUGCCCCCUUUCCUCUUCCUGCUUCCUUUUCUCCUGUUCUUCCCGCACCAGCUUCCGCUGUUCCCUCUUCCUGCAGAUCAGAGCCACACGGUCCUUUACAGCCUUGGCUAUGGUCUUAUGAUCGCCCUCACACACGUAGCCUGAAUCAACCUGCAAAGUGAAUAUGGAAGAAGGCGAGAAACACAAAAGACAAAGCAAGUCUAAUAAGGAGGCUGGAAAACUAGAAAACUAAACCACAAAGACAAGUCACUGAGAUAAAGGCUGAAAUGUUUCAAGAAACAGCAGGUGCAAUGAGCUUUGCUACCAUCUCCUGUGCCACGUCUUCUGGGACAUCUUUGUGGAGGUCAAAGGAAAACUCAAUGGCCUCAUUAUCCUUGUAUUUCCCUUUGAGCUUCUUAACAUCCUCAAUGCGCAACCAUAGUUUGAUAGCCACCAUCUCCCCAUCAUCCUCUUCAGCAAGCUCGACACGAACCCCUGUCUCUUCCUGAAAAAAGGCGUGGUUCAACAGGUCCUUGAUGGAAUAUCUGGGGGGGAAUCUCUCGUCUUUGUUUUGCCGAAUACACCCUUCGAUGAUCUCUUUGACUUCAGGAAUGGCUACCUUAUCGAAGCUGCCAGGUUUCACUCCCUAUAAAAGUAGAACACAGAAAACAUCCAAAUCAUGCACAGCCUACAAACAGAAUCAAACUCACUUAAUGUCUACCUUUAACGCUAAUCAAUCUUGUGCUAUUUGCAAAAUGUUGGUUUAAAUAUUAAUAAAUAGACAUGUGAUAUAAUUAAUACAUGACUGUAAAAUGGUAAUGUAUGUAUAGUACCAUUUUCCAACACCUGCAUUUUAUAUAUAGAUAGCAAUUAGUGUACGCAGGCUACAAGCUGUAAUAAACAGGUAAUGAAAAAAUUUAACUUCUUAGCACACUGCCAUUUUAUUGGAAUACGCCUGUCAUAUACUCGUCUACUGCCUAAAGCCCAGUUAUGAAUCUAACUUUGGACUGGGCUUUGGAGGUGUUUUCACCAGAGAUACUUUUUCAGGAACUCGUGAACUUUCUGUGCAUUUCCACCCCGAAGAGCCAGGACUAUUCUUAAUUUCUCAAUUAAGUUGCAGAGAAUAUAACACAGCGACUACUGAAGUGAAGUUUGGUAUCUAGCAUGGCACUAACAAAUGAUUAUUAAGAAUAAUUUUAUAAUCAGAAGUUUCCAUGAUACUUUUGUUUUUACAAACGUAUUGCAUCAAAAGCUUGCAGGGGUAUAUUUUGUCACUGUGACAUUUAUACAACAGAUUAAAAAUCAACAGAUAAUGCGCCUUCACUGUCAAAUGUAAACUAACCGCAUUUGGUUGCUGAAUUAACUGCCAUGUGAUCCACACCAUACGCAAUUACUGAUGCUAAAUUUUGUUUCACUUCCUGCCCAAAUACCACAUGAGCCAAUUGAGAUUAAGCCACAGAAAAUAGUCUUAUUAAUUUGUUUUAAGGACUGGUUCACGUUUGUUGUGAGCAACAUAGUUCAGUGGAAAUGUUCAUAUCUCCCUGCAGUUCUGGCUUGGUUUCCCACGGAAUCUAAGCAAGGUUGGGCAUGGCCAGUAGCAGGAUGGGAGACCUCCUGGGGAAAACCAAGGUCUGCUGGAAGUGGUAUUAGUGAGGCCAGCAGGGGGUGCUCACCCUGUGGUCUGUGUGGGCCCUAAUGCCCAAUAUAGUGACCAGGACACCAUACUAUAAAAACAGCACAGUCUUUUGAAGAUGUUAAACCGAGGUCCUGACUCUCUAUGGUCAUUAAAAAUCCCAAGACACUUAUCGUAAAGAGUAGGGGUAUAACUUCCGUGGCCUGGCAAAAUUCCCCCUAAUAAUCCCCAUCUCUGAAUUGGCUACUCUCUUCAGCUGGUGUGUGGUGAGUGUUCUGGCGCACUAUGGCUGUCGUUACACACUAAUGGUGUUUGAGGAGAACCCCCCCCCAAUACUAUAUAAAGUGCUUCGAAUGUCUAGGAAAGUGCUAUGUAACAGUAAUAAUAAUAUUGAUUUCACUUUGGGGUUCUGUAUAUGGUGAUGGCAUAACUAGACUGGAAUUCUUAAAAGCACAACUUACCACUCAUAGAGGGGAAAAAAGAGUGAAGAAAAUGCCUCAUAAAAGGCCAAAAAGGGGAGGAUUUAAAAGAAUGGAGCGAAGGAGAGGGGAGGAGGACGAGCACACAUGGCCCUCUCCUCCAGCAAAAGGAUGGGCACUUACGCUGGUCACUCUGCGAUAGAUCUGUGCCGCAUUCUGGCACUCGGAGUACGGGUACUCAGAAGUAGCCAUCUCCAGCAUACACAUCCCAAAGGCAUAGACAUCCACUGACUCGUCAUACUUCUCCUCAUACAUCUCAGGCGCCAUGAACUCAGGGGUACCUUAAAUCAAAAGAACGGUUCAGAACUCUCUCUCAUUUCCCUAUAACACCUUCUCUGUGAAGAGGAGAGAGGAAGGUGGUGAUGCUGCUGAAGAUGACCUCUCCAGAAACCUGUGAGAAAAGAGAGAGAGAGAGAAGGGAGAGCGAAAAGGGGAUAGAAAGCGAAAAAGAGGAGGAGGGGGGAUAAACUGUUCUCAGUUAGGCUGUCAUGAUAAGAAGCCCAAGUUUCUCAGUGUAAGGCCUUUAGGGCAGGGCUAUGGAAACAAAACUAGAGUACAGAACCUACCAAAAAGCCUGGACUGACCAAAGAAUUCAAGCUCAGUCUGCUGAAGGACAAGGGCUGAGCAUUAAAGUAAAGUUGUUAGGCAUUGGAUAAUGUUUACAAAUGCGGAGUUUAAGACAAAGUCACGUGUUAGCCAAAAAAAUUACUGGGAAAUGUUUGAGGUGAGUCAAUGGUCAGUCAAUAGCCCAGGACUGAUCAUUUAAGAGAAAGCUAAAAUCCAAGCUAUGGAAAGAACUUAGUACAUUUUGUUAGCCUGCUGCAAAUCCCCUUAAAAGGCACUUACCUUUCUGAUACCUGUAAGAAAGUAGAGCAAAUUAAAAUUGCUAAGCAUAAAAUAUUCCAUAGCUAGUCACUGAUUCGUGAGGUUCUGCACACUAGUUUAUGCAGUAAAAAAGCUGCCCAUAAAGCAAAGACCUCACACAGAAAAACUUAUCAUAUUUGGAAUUGAUUUAGAUUUGUAAUGUGUCACUUUGUACUGGUUGACUUACCAGGCCCAUUUUCUGCAUUUACCGCAGUACACUAAAUAAUCCUUAAAGUAGAAUAAGGGAGAUCUGAGGUUAGAGUCUAAAGUUUCCUAAAAUGAUAAAUGGACUCUAAGUCUAUAACUGAGAGGAAAUGAGGAGAGAGAUUAAGGCUUGGAUCUUAAGAAAGACACUGUAAGAAAAAAAAUCAAAACAGAAGAUCUACCCUUGAGAGAGAAAAAUGACAGUUAUUAGCAUCAUCACGCAUUUCAUUGAAGAAACAGACCACUAAUAUCCAAACCACAGGACAAAGAUCAUUCAGAACGGUACCUGAAAGCCCAGGGCUCACCUCUAGCUUUUGUGCUAUCCCUUUGCCAAGAUCGGGUUUGCCUGCAGACAAGCCACAAUACAACUACGCACAUCACUGACAAAAAGAGAGUUAAGAAACUACUUACUCUCUGGAGGAACCUGAAAUAAGGGCCUCUUAAAACACUGAGGAUAAUAUGGAUCAACAAAACAAUUUUGGACCUAGAGGAGGGAGGGAAAUCCCGUGUGGAGAGACAGCGCGAGCGAGAAGCAGGGGCCCUGGUUUGCUGUGGUUUGGGGGCUCACAGAAACACUGUGGUCUGCCUUCGCACCACAAUGUUAAAUCACACUUUUAGAAGCCAAAGAAGAGAAAGAAACGUCAGAAGAGGACAGACUUUCUUCUUCCUGCCAGCAAACCCGCAUAGCGAGUUAACACAAAAAGGACCAAGAAACGGUGUACAUGGUUUACGGGGUCAUACCUAUGACACUCUUGGCAAAAGAAGCCCUCUUGAGAGUGGCGAGGCCCAGGUCGCCGAUCUUGACUGAUCCAGUGGGCCCAGUGAUGAAAAUGUUGUCACACUUGAGGUCACGGUGGAUGAUGGGAGGAGACCUGGUAUGAAGAAAGUGAAGCCCUUUCAGGAUCUGCCGACACCAGCUCCGCAGGACUUUGAUCUUCAUCUCCUUAAACCGCUUUAAAUACCUGCAGAGCAAAACAAACCACCAUCAGCAUGGGUAAGCCAUUUGUUUUUUUAAAACCAAGGACGCUAAUAUUUAAUUUAGACAAAAAUAAAAUUCUGACUAUUUUUGCUGCCAAAAUAUUUUCCUGCUGAAUCAUUUCGUAUCUAGAGAGGCCACAACUUAUUUAAAACUGUGCACUUACGUCUUUAAAGUGCCAGAUGUCAUGAGCUCAGUCACCAGCACUAUACAUUUCCUCCCUUUGCAGGGAGCCUCCCAGGAAUCAUAGAAGCGCACAAUGUUGGGGUGCUGCAGGCCCUUCAGCAUGCCAGCUUCCUCCUUGAAGCGCUGUCGCUCUGAUUUGGACAACUUGCGGUCCUGAAAGGCAUUUUAAACGUGACAUUGCAAGAUAAGUGUGUGUAGGUGUCCUCUAAAUUGAAUGCUUGGCAAUGUUAAACAAAUACUGCCAACUAUUUAAUACAAACAGAAUACUUUAUGUGGUCUGAAACAUAUACAACAUCUGAAUAGUAUAAACACACUUGAAAUAGUGCUAAAUUCCCACCAACUGCAAGCUCCCCCAGUAUGACCUACUUUUCACUAUGAGGUUACCCACAAUUCCUGGAAUGAGAAACAUCCAGCUUCUGGAGGUCCUCCAAAAGCACCAUCCCCCCAAAGCUAAUAGUAUUACUCCUCGCCCCCAGUCCUAUUUUACACCGUCUUUACAAUGACUUCAAACAAUUGAACCCAGUGGAGAGGCAGCCCACUCAGUAAAAUAUGAAAAGCUCCUGGGACUCGUAAUACUGUUGACAGAAGAAAGGGAAUAUGCACAGGUUUUUAGUUUGGGUAUGUAAAGGAAUCAUGAAGUAGAGCAAGGGAAUAAUUUGCAUAUAUGUGUGCACAUAAUAUUACCACAAUACCGCUAAAAAAAAUAUUAAAUCCUAGUAAUAUUACAGUAAUCCUAAGGUUCUCAUCAAAACAUUUUUUCAAAAAUUUUAAACAGUUUUUCAUUUACUCCCUAAUUUGAUAAUUUGCCAAGUCCCACCCACCAGCCAACUUCCCCUUAUCACACAAACAACUAUCAACUGGGCAGGCUGAAGGACAUGUGCCGUCUCCGUGAGGCCAGCCAUUAUAUGAUUUUGAAUUGCUGCUCAUGCUGUCACAGGGCAGCACAACAUACUCUGAGGAAAGGGCUAUCGACCCUCUUCCACAUGCCCACGUACUUCUCAGAUGUCCACGAUGGCCUACUGUGAUCGAAAGUGGAGAGAGAAAUGCCAUCUCUCACACCCAGAGAGCAUGGCCAAUUUUGCUCUCUAGACUAACGGGCACGGGAUUGCAGCGCCAAUGUCAGGAAUCUAAAUCACGAUCUGCCAAAUGCUUUUCUGUUGCAUGAUACGAGAGCUCAGUUUUAGAAUUUUAAAAUGGUCCACUGCUGACUAGUGUGACCAAAACAGACAAAAGAAACUCCACUGUCCUUUCCCUGCUUGAACAGCAGUGAACGUGUCUAUUCAAUACACAGUAUUUGUGCUGCAUUGGUCUGCUGCAUUGGGUUGUACUUUGCACAUCUUUGCACAGUACUAAAGUAGAAAAUAUGCUUCAAUUUUUACGCAUACGCCAAGAACAGCAUACAGUAUGCGUGACGCAAAUUCCGUCAUCAGCAGAGUACACACACCGCCCGAUUUUUCUAACCGCACGUACUUUGCACAGGUCACACAUGCGCAUUUAAUUCUUUUGCACCAUUUAGUUGCUCCAAAAGGUGGCAACAGUGACCCAGGGCCAUUGAAUCUCAAGGUAGAUGAAGAAAAAAACAGAAGAGAUGGAAAUGAUUGCAGGUUAUAAAGCAUUUGUAUAAUUCUAGCCUUAAAGAGUAUAAGGACUUGUACAUGGGUGCUAAUUGUGGUGAGAGAUUGCCCAAGCAUUGUUCUUUGUGUUUUUGUGGUGAUUCUUCGUUGUCACCCUUCACACCAAAACACCUGCUUUACUGCUCUGUACUGACAGAGCCAGGAGGGGUACUGCAAGUUGUCGUAAUGCGCAUGCGUGACCACCUGUGUACGUGUACAUGUCAAAAGGAGUAUACUUAAGAUUAUGCAUACGACAGUGCGCAUACACUAGCGGGCAUGUAAAAAAAUAUAUAAUAAUAAAACGAAUAAACGAAGUGUACCAGAGGCUUAAGAAGUUAAUCUGUUUUUGAAUCAAUUUGUAUAGAUAAACAAAUAAAAGAUGACAUUUUAAAUCUGAUUAUUUUCUUCUUGUGAGUUUCUUCAAUGACAAUGAAUAACUUUGGUUGUUUAUGUGAUGAAAGUGCACAAUUGCAAGCAUGUUGCUGAUGUUCUUUCUGUAUAAAACACUACAGUUCUGUGGCACAUGAACCUACUGUGUAUUAAUGUUCAAGUUUAUUCAAAUACUAAACCUUUUUAAUAUUUAAAGUUCUUACACAAGUUAAUAUGGAUAAGCUAUAGGUGUGGCAUGUAUUUAAACUUCUUACGGUGCUUUUAUAUUACGUAUCUUUCCUAAAAUCAGAUAACGCACCCUUGAGAGCAAAGCAUUCAGAGCAACACAAUACACUGGAAUAUGGAAAUAUAAUUUUUUUCCCCCCUUCACCCUGACAGGCAACACUACUAAUGCAAAAUUAUUUCUUUCGCUAUUGACCUAACAUGACAACUAUCAGACUUGCAACAGAGGCACUGGGUAUAAACACGAGGAAUGUCUUAACGUUUAAUUUCAGUAGUUAUUUAAAAUCCAAACCACUUUGGAAGGACAAAAAGCACUUCUUCAAAAGACAACAGAAGUGAAACUGUUUAUAAACUUUUCCUGUGCUCAGACCUAAAUAUUAUUCAAGCGUGUCAUGUGCGAUAUGAGCUACAGGAUGGAAGGAUGCCAGUGUUCUGCACAAGCAGUGCAUGUAUUUUUGCCUUCUGGUACUGAUGUCUAUUCAUUUUAGUGCAACUUUGCUACAUAUCAAAGGAAACGGUAGACAAAAUGACACGACAGAACAAAAAAAAUAGAAAGAAAGACAGGAAGAGUGGGAGGGGAAGAAAAGAUGAGAGGGCGCAAGAAAUAAGAGCCUCAGAGAAAGCAGAGUGUGAGAGAACAUGUAAAAAGAGUGAGAGUGAAAGAGAUACUGACGCUUUUGUUUCAGUGCAUUUUCCAAACUGGCUCAACCUGAAGGCUGUUUGCAGCAGAGCUGCAGCUCACGUGACCACAUGCAAUGUCCUGUCAUCACCCAGCAGCAACAGCAAUAAGAAGGCGGGGUAGAGAGGGCAAAGGCAAGCCUUGACAAGCCACAGAGCUGCUGCUCACAUUGACGAGAAGAGACUCUGACCCACUUUCCCAACAUGCACUAGUGUAUUACAUUGACAGAGUAAAACUUCUCACAAGUGUCUAUUACAUUUCCUCUCUUAACCCCUUCAAAACGAAAGGAGGAAACAGGAUGUCAAUAAAGGCAAAUAGCGAGAAGUGGGUCACAAGUUAAUGUUACCAGCAGCAGGAUGUUGCCCUGUGGUCUGCAGCGUCACUUUAGCAUUUAUGAGAAUCAUCCUGCUUGCAUUAUCAGCAUUAUAUAGUUCUGUGAUUACUAGUCUCCAUUUCCAGUAUAACUACAGAAAAUAAAUGUUAACACAGUCUGUGUUGAUAUCAGGUGCCAUCAUGAAAGAGAAAAGACUACUUCUAUCAAGACUAUCGAGUCACAAUUUUCCUGGUAAUACUCUAAGCUACUUAAAAUAUGUCACGGCUAUAUUUUUUUGUCUUGGAAUAUAUAGGAAUAAGUAUGAGUACACACUCUAGAUAGGAGUACCUCAAAAAAACAUUAUUUGAAGAUUAAUAUUUUUAAAAUGUGCUAUUUCAAUAUUUUGGAAACAGACAUCCAAAUGUAGCAAAACAUUAAGUAAGCAAUAACAACAUUUAAAUAAAUGAAAGAAUUUUAAAAAAUGAAAUAUUUUAAACAAUUCCUAUGCAUUCUUCAUUUCACACAUCAAACACAAACAGAAAUCCCCAAGCUGAAACAGCAGAACAGAGCUCAAAUGGCACAAAAAUGACUUACCUGCAGUUCACACCAUGCCACCUCCACAGUCGUCUCUGUAUCCAAUCCUUUAUACACUGUCUUGAAUGAACCACGUCCAAUCUCAAUGUCAAACUUCAAAAUCGGCCAUCGGGUGAAGUUCCGACAGCCUUCGUCUCCACCUCCUCUAUGUCCUCUGGGUCCUUCUUCUCAGUCCCACGCUGUUGCCCUGAAUCCACACGAGCCUUCGUCUUGGCUUCUUCAUCUUCCUCCUUAUCAUUUUCCUGUUUUGUGCCUACACUACUGCCAGACUCCUGCUCCGAUGUCUUGCUGUGUGGCUCCAGACACGUUUCCUUCUUUGUCUCCACAACCUGACUGGCUGAAACCACGGGCCUCUGCUCUUCAACCAUCUCCUCGUGGACUUCAUCUUUCACUCCCUCCACCUUCUCAACGACGGGCCCAUCAGCCACCACAAGGAUCUCAGUCUGAGCAGUAGUUUUAAUCUCACUAACAUUAAGAUCGGUGGAAGAGGCUGAAAAAUCCGGUUGCACAUCCAGGGAAAAGAUUUUGCUAGGAAGCUCCAAAGCUGUGGCGUUCGAGUCACAAAUAACACUACGCCGGACAAAUCGGUGCUCAGCUUUCGAGUCCCGCUCCAUGGUGUGGUGCCGGCGUCGGACUUCAGGACCAAUCCUUUCACCCAACUGCGUGUCCGAGUUGGAGCCAGCAGUGUUCUUUGAAGCAGGGGACAGGAACUUAACCAUCUUGUCUCUAAAACUUUCAGACAUAUCUCCACUCACAGAGUGAAGAGACACUCAAAGGCUAGAUCACUUCCAUACACUUAAAUAAAUGUACUGAAAAAUACUAAAAGGCUAAUUUGCUAUGUUUUUGGGUGAUCACUCAAAUGAAGUCAAUGCUCUUACAAACUAAAGGGCUUGAGUAAAGCACUGAUAGAGCACUGGGAUUGAAGGAGGGAGAGACCAGUUCACAGCCCACAUGUUCACAUGAUAACAAUGCACAAGGGCUUUUAAACUUCGGUCAUCCAUUGUACGGGGAAAUGUAGGCUGUGUUCAACAUAAGGUGUGACGUAAAAAGGCAAGGCUGUAAUACUUGACGUGCGCUUUUAAGCCAGAAGGAUGCACAAGGUUCGAAACGUGAUCCAAGCUUCUGUUUCACUGUAACAACACAAAGUAAAGUUUAUAGUAUUGAGAAAACAUAAUACUACUAAUAAGUGUAAAUUAUACAGCACUUUUCUCAAACUCAAUAUCACUUUACAGAGACCAAGAGUAAGCAAACAGAGGAGUGGGCUAACGUGUGCAUCACUGUAGUAUUUCUGGGAUUUCAGUCCCAUCUGAUUCGGUCAUGUUAGUAUUAUUUACAGACCACGUGUUCUGCAUCUGAACGUAUUACACUAUCUUUUACCUUCUAGAGAAUGACCGGUAGAACGAACCCCAGGUGAUAUGCCAUAAUCUUUGUGAACACGUCAAUUUAGACCGGAGAUAUUAUUGAUUCAGAACAUGUCUGAAUUGACAUGUUCACAAAGAUAAUGUCAUAUCUUGUUGGAGGAGAGAUUUUACACGUUCUCUUCUAGAACAAUAAAAAAAAUAUAUAGUAGACUUUCGGCGAGUUCAUAGAACAGACACAGCCAUGUGUAACCAUACAACAAUCACUUUUGAUUAAAAUGUUGAAACCAACAGGUUGAAUUAAAAUGAGGUGUACACGUACAGUAGCAGGCACAGAAUUUUCAUGUAACAUCAAUGAGUACAUCCUGAACACACACCCAUCUCUGAUACAGAAAAAUCACUUCAACUGUGAACAGAUCAUAAUUACUCAGGUGUCCUCCGGCAAUAUGACUUCAUAGAUAUGUCUGUAAAGCUUAUCAGUCCAAACAAUACUAACAAAACCAAAUAAUCCUCACAUAAAUUCAUACAUGCAUCUGGCACAACAAGAAAUAAUGAGAGCAGCUGAGGAAUGAGGUACACAGAGGUGUCAGAAAACAGAGAUAAUGUAUAGGAGAGGAGCUGCUUAGUUAUUGUCCAGAGACUGAGACACACUCUGAAAAGCUGUUUUGACUGAAUUUCUCCUCUGUACUCACACGAGCCAAAAAAUACACCAACAAAUAAAGCGACAUCACAAUUUUUAACAAUAUUGAUAUUGAUUAAGCUACACUGAUUGUAACGUAGAAACUCAGCUUUACAAAGUAACCAUCAUUAAGAGGCUAACAUUAAUUGUAGGACUUCAAAAAAAAAAAAAAAAAAAGAGUUGGACACAGCCACAUGAAUCAGCUGUUAGAUGACAUUAGCAAUCACAAACAUCCACUUAGCGGAUGUGGUGGCUACAAAGUUACCCAAAUCCAUCGUUCGCUUAAAUCCGAUUACUAAUACAGGUCAUGUCAAACCAGAUCGUAAAUAAUUCAGAUUUACCCGACCACGCAGGCCAACAUUAACCAGUUAAGUUCAAAAUGACUGCUGUGAGCUUGGCUAGACUUGCUAAUUAGGCACCUCUAGCUAAGGCUGACGUUCGAUUAAUGACCAUCACUAACUCGUCUUUAAGGAACUGUUUUUCACUUCACAAUUGUUUCUGUAAAUAUAUAUAUAUUAAUACGUCUCUUGUUACAGAAAACAAUUAUAAUACUGCAGCUGCUUUUCUGUUCUUUUCUGCUCUCUCUACAACGCAAGCUGGCUAACGCCAACAUUAACAGCUCGCUGUCGCUAACUGACGUUACUCAAAUCAAAUACAGUUAGCCAGAGCUGCUAACUGGGGAUAUUUUGAGGCACAAAGUGUCGUGAUUAAACUCAAUUCAUACGGUUUACAGAGACACUUUCAUAAAACAAGAUAUUUUUUAUUUAUUGUUUUUUUAAACACACUCACCGAAAUGAUGUGCAUCGUCAUCCUCGAUUAUCUACAGUUUCUCUGGACACCGCGCGCGCGCAACGCCGAAACUCCCUUAGCUAGCGAGCGAGCUAAUCACCGGGUUAGUUAUAACGUUUGAAAUGACUCAUAUUUUGAGUCAUACUGCUAUGUUUAUGCGCGGAUGUAUUCGUUUACCGUGCCUGGAUACCUCUGUAAAGAACGACAGAUUCGAGAACGACAGAUUCGAGAACAACUCGCCGCGAGCAGCCGACAAACCGAACGACAAAGUUCAAAACGUCAACGUGCAAAAAUCACGCGCCUUCUCGCGAGAUUUCCGGACAUGCACGCGGACUCUUUGUUGUAGGUUUUUAUCGGUUUAAUUUCCUUGUUCAACUGGUUAUCAAUGAAAAAACUAAUGCAAACGAGUCCCAUGGUCUUAAUAAACGAACACACCAGACAAAGUCCAUUCCUGUGCUAUCCCGUACACGAGCUAGUGUUUUGUUGUUGUUGUAACAAAAAAGCGCCUUUGUUACUUAUUGCAGCUGGUCCCUGAAUCAAACGAUUUCCACUCGACGGACAUAAUUUGGAUUUAUGGACACACAAACGGGCGUUUUAUUGUUUUUCCAUCUCAGUGCAACACCAUAAAACACAGCCGACAAAAGAACAAUCCGCAUUCUCCUCUCUCUUCCCCCGAGGCAGCCCAAAAUAGCCUCAUAACGCAGUGUGGACACGAGCGCCCCCUCCCGCACAGAG